UGCAAGUGAUCCACGCCUGCUCCUAAACCC
rnacentral:piRNA from 1 species